GACGAACGCUGGCGGCGUGCUUAACACAUGCAAGUCGAGCGAGCGGCGAACGGGUGAGUAACGCGUAGGAACCUGCCUCAUCGCGGGGGAUAACGUCCGGAAACGGGCGCUAAUACCGCAUACUAUCAGAUGAGCCUAGGUCGGAUUCGCUAGUCGGUGGGGUAAAGGCCUAUCAAGGCGACGAUCCGUAACUGGUCUGAGAGGAUGAUCAGUCACACUGGAACUGAGACACGGUCCAGACUCCUACGGGAGGCAGCAGUGGGGAAUAUUGGACAGUGGGCGAAAGCCUGAUCCAGCCAUGCCGCGUGUGUGAAGAAGGUCUUCGGAUUGUAAAGCACUUUAAGUUGGGAGGCGUUACCAGCAGAAUAAGCACCGGCUAACUUCGUGCCAGCAGCCGCGGUAAUUC
rnacentral:rRNA from 1 species